rnacentral:tRNA from 1 species
GGGGAUUUAGCUGAGUGGUUCUGGUGCCUGCCUUGCAAGCACAAGGACCUGAGUUCGAUCUCUGGUACCCCG